GCAGGCCUAACACAUGCAAGUCGAACGGUAGCACAGAGAGCUUGCUCUCGGGUGACGAGUGGCGGACGGGUGAGUAAUGUCUGGGAAACUGCCUGAUGGAGGGGGAUAACUACUGGAAACGGUAGCUAAUACCGCAUAACGUCUUCGGACCAAAGUGGGGGACCUUCGGGCCUCACACCAUCGGAUGUGCCCAGAUGGGAUUAGCUAGUAGGUGGGGUAAUGGCUCACCUAUGCGACGAUCCCUAGCUGGUCUGAGAGGAUGACCAGCCACACUGGAACUGAGACACGGUCCAGACUCCUACGGGAGGCAGCACGUGGGGAAUAUUGCACAAUGGGCGCAAGCCUGAUGCAGCCAUGCCGCGUGUAUGAAGAAGGCCUUCGGGUUGUGAAGUACUUUCAGCGGGGAGGAAGGCGAUAAGGUUAAUAACCCUUGUAGAUUGACGUUACCCCG
rnacentral:rRNA from 1 species